rnacentral:rRNA from 1 species
CGGUGUCGGUUGGAAGCGUGCGAGAUCUCAUCUGAUCUCGGAAGUUAAGCAGGGUCGGGCCUGGUUAGUACUUGGAUGGGAGACCGCGUGGGAAUACUGGGUACUGU